AUUGAACGCUGGCGGCAGGCUUAACACAUGCAAGUCGAACGAGUGGCGGACGGGUGAGUAAUGUCUGGGAAACUGCCUGAUGGAGGGGGAUAACUACUGGAAACGGUAGCUAAUACCGCAUACCAUCAGAUGUGCCCAGAUGGGAUGAGCUGGUGGGUGGGGUAACGGCUCACCUAGGCGACGAUCCCUAGCUGGUCUGAGAGGCUGACAGGCCACACUGGAACUGAGACACGGUCCAGACUCCUACGGGAGGCAGCAGUGGGGAAUAUUGCACAAUGGGCGCAAGCCUGAUGCAGCCAUGCCGCGUGUAUGAAGAAGGCCUUCGGGUUGUAAAGUACUUUCAGCGAGGAGGCGUUACUCGCAGAAGAAGCACCGGCUAACUCCGUGCCAGCCGCCGCGGUAAUUC
rnacentral:rRNA from 1 species